AGUGAACGCUGGCGGUAGGCCUAACACAUGCAAGUCGAACGGCAGCACAGUAAGAGCUCGCUCUUACGGGUGGCGAGUGGCGGACGGGUGAGGAAUACAUCGGAAUCUACUUUUUCGUGGGGGAUAACGUAGGGAAACUUACGCUAAUACCGCAUACGACCUACGGGUGAAAGCAGGGGAUCUUCGGACCUUGCGCGAUUGAAUGAGCCGAUGUCGGAUUAGCUAGUUGGCGGGGUAAAGGCCCACCAAGGCGACGAUCCGUAGCUGGUCUGAGAGGAUGAUCAGCCACACUGGAACUGAGACACGGUCCAGACUCCUACGGGAGGCAGCAGUGGGGAAUAUUGGACAAAGGGCGCAAGCCUGAUCCAGCCAUACCGCGUGGGUGAAGAAGGCCUUCGGGUUGUAAAGCCCUUUUGUUGGGAAAGAAAAGCAGCAGGUUAAUACCCCGCUGUUCUGACGGUACCCAAAGAAUAAGCACCGGCUAACUUCGUG
rnacentral:rRNA from 1 species